GGUCCCUGACACCUUAUAUGGUCCUGCUCCUUUGAUAGCACUCAGGGCUUUCUAUAGCAGGGUUCCUAUUGUGGCUUCUGCUAAGAAAAAAAGAAGAGAAACAAAAUCACAGCAUAAGGUUCAAGAAAAGUGAUGAUUUGGGUGAAGAAUGAUAGAAGAAUGCAGAAUAAACUAAGUAGUGCCAUCUCUAGAGGAUGGAGCCAUCUCUCUCUGGAGGAUGGAGCCAUCUCUCUCUGGGGGACAGAGCCAUCUCUGGAGGAUGGAGCCAUCUCUGGAGGAGAGAGCUGUCUCUCUCUGGAGCAUGGAGCCGUCUCUCUCUGGAGCACGGAGCCGUCUCUCUCUGGAGGAUGGAGCCAUCUCUGGAGGAGAGAGCUGUCUCUCUCUGGAGCAUGGAGCCGUCUCUCUCUGGAGCACGGAGCCGUCUCUCUCUGGAGGAUGGAGCCAUCUCUGGAGGAGUGAGCUGUCUCUCUCUGGAGCAUGGAGCCGUCUCUCUCUGGAGCACGGAGCCGUCUCUCUCUGGAGGAUGGAGCCAUCUCUGGAGGAAGGAGCCAUCUCUCUCUGGCGCAUGGAGCCUCUCUCUGGAGCACGGAGCUGUCUCUGGAGCACAGAGCCACUUCUGGAGGACAGAGCCCGUGGCCGUGCACAGAAGCCACAAGAGUGACACAAACCACUUCCUGUUGCCUGUGGAUCAAGAUGUAGAACUCUCAGCUCCUUCUCCAGCACCAUGUCUGCCUGCACACCGCCAUGUCCCACCGUGAUAAUGGACUAAACCUCUGAAACUGUAAGCCACUCCAAUUAAAAUGCUUUCCUUUAUAAGAGUUGCUGUGGUCAUGGUGUCUCUUCACAGCAAUAGAAACCCUAAGACAUUUGCCUUUGGUGAAAAGUUUAAAAACCAUUGUAUUUAAAUGAAAAGCUUACAUGAAGAUCAGAGAGUAAAACAGCCCCACUGACCAGCCUUACCGACCAGGCAGUGGUGACACACACCUUUAAUCCCAGUAGUCACACUAGUUUGCCAUAGAAACCAGGUAGUACAUGCCUUUAAUCACAGUGGUAGACGCCUUUAAUUCCAGAACUUGAGAGGAUUAUAAGAUGUGAGGAGACAGCUCUCACACGCAGUCUCAUUCUGAGAUUCCUGGAGGCAGGAUCGCCAUUUCGAACUGAAGUUGAGGUAAGAGCCAGUGUCUGACUGUUUUGCUUUUGGAUCUUCAGGUUGAACCCCAAAUUCCCUGAGUUUAUUAAUCAUGCAUCAAUGAAGUCUGUUAUGUACAAUAUGAAUAUUCAUGCUGUUGUUUUCCCAAUGAUAAGAUCUCAACUUUUCCAGUGUUAACUUGAUCUCAAGUUGUCCCUUUUGCAGGGAUCAGCUGACGUAACUAGCAGCAGAUAUACCUUUUUCAUUUAGAAUUUAUUUCUCCCUUAUUAAACAUCUUUAUAUAGAAUAUUCCAGAAUAAAACAAUGUAGUAAAAAUAA